GUGUUGUGCGUUCACUGCUAUUCAGCAGGCUGGAGAAGUGUUCCCUCCAUAAUUUAAGUAUGCUCUGGGAAUCGGUCACUAGAUCACCUUUGGGGGUUCUACAAGAGUAUGCUCCGGUCCUUCUGUAAGCCGCCGCAUUUUUUCGUAGAAUUUUCGAGCAUUACCCCUGUCGGCCAGCUUAUCAAGCUCUUCGUACUCACGCAUUUCAGCCUCUUUCUUUUUCUGUCUACAAAUGCGUCUCGCUUCCCUCUUCAACUCUCGGUAUCUAUCCCAUCCCGCACGUGUUGUGGUCAAUCGUAACGUUGCGAGGUAGGCAGUCUGUUUUCUCUCCGCUGCGACACGGCACUCCUCGUCGUACCAGCUGUUCUUUUGCACUUUCCCAAUGCACCAAUGGUUUCGGUUGCAGCUGUACGUAAGGAAUUUGAAAUGCCGUCCCACAGUUCCCUUAUACCGGGUUGUUGACGAGUGCUCUCAGAGAGCAGGAGUGCAAGCCGAGUAGAAAAUCGUUCGGCUGUCUGUUGUGAUUGCAGCUUCUCGACGUCGAACCUUCCUUGUGUUUGUUGGCGUGUGUUUUUUGCUGCACAGAGGCGGGUGCGAAUCUUGGCUGCAACAAGAUAGUGAUCCGAGUCGAUGUUAGACCCUCGGAGCGCACGCACAUCUAAAACACUGGAGACGUGUCUUCCGUCUAUCACAACAGGAUCGAUCUGGUUGGCAGUUUUUCGAUCCGGAGACAGCCAGGUAGCUUGAUGAAUUUUUUUAUGCUGGAAUCUAAUACUACAGAUAACCAUAUUUCGGGCCCCGGCGAAGACGAUCAGCCUCAACCCAUUUGGGGAUGUUUCGUCAUGGAGGCUGAAUGUACCGACCGUAGUGCCAAAGAUACCUUCUUUACCCACCCUGGCGUUAAAGUCGCCAAGCACGAUUUUGACAUCGUGGCGGGGGCAGCUCUCAUAAGUGCGCUCCAAGCACUCAUAAAAGACAUCUUUGGUCACAUCGUCCUUCUCUUCCGUCGGGGCGUGGGCGCAAAUCAGCGAUAUGUUGAAGAACCUCGCUUUGAUGCGGAUUGUGGCUAGGCGUUCAUUCACCGGAGUGAUUGAUAGUACUCGGCGACGGAGUCUCUCUCCCACCACGAGUCCAACACCAAAGUUGCGCUCCUUUAUAUGGCCACUGUAGUAAAUGUCACAAGGACCUACUCGUCUCAGUCCUUGUCCCGUCCAUCGCAUUUCUUGGACGGCGGUGAUGUCAGCCUUUAUUUUUGUGAGGACAUCAACCAGCUGGGCAGCAUCACCUUCCCAAUUAAGGAACCAGAUAUUCCAAAUGCAUGUCCUUAAAUCAUAGUCUUUAUUACGUUUGCUGUGGUCGUCACCAAAAGCGGGGAUACUUUCUCAAGGCUGUUGAUUUGUUUGGACUUUCCAAAAACGCCGCCGUCCGAAACUCUGCCAUUGCACCCGACAUCAAUAUAUAUAAAUCGGUAGUCCGCAUCCGCAAUGGCCAUAAGUACAAUACAUUAGCACCUUUAUAAUUAUAAAAGGUACUUCCAGACCGCGGCGGAGCCUUCAUCACAAUGUGUUUCCCGUCAACUGCGCCUAUACAAUGGGAAAAACUGCAUUUAUCAUUAAAUUUUUGGGCAAUGUCAAUCCACAUCUGUUCGUUGUUUGGAACCUUGGAAAUGUGUAAUGUGAUAUCAAUUUAUGUUUUUGAUGUGAUUAUGUAUAGCUACCUUUAAAUAUUCAUUUUUCAAAGCUUUGUAAAUUGCAUCGCAAACCUCCGGCACUCGUAGAUAUGGUAUUCGGCGCAAUGCGAAAGUCAACAGAUAAACUUUUGAAGCUGCCUCCAGAGGCAAGGAAGCGAAGUGUAACCGCCAAACGUUCAUUGGCGGGUAUUGCUUUGCGCAUAUUGGUGUAACUUUUUUUAUGUUUGGAGAGACUAAUACAAGAAUAUAAUUAAAAGUGGCUUCGUUCAUGCGAAGAUAAUUUUUAAACAAAUAUUUUUGAUUGUUCACUUCACGAAACUCGCACAGAGUUUUUGCAUACCCGCCGUCAGUACUUCUCCUACGAAGUCAAUCCAGCACCCAAACACUUCGCUUCUUCAAUGUUCGUUUUUCUUUUAUUUGUUUCUUUUUAUUAAUUAGGUGUACACAAAUACACAUAAUUGCCACUAUUUUCUUUUUUCUUAAUGAAGAAAUCAUUAUAUUUAAAAAUUAUAAAAUUACGUUCAAAUAUAUGUAAUUAUGUAUUCAAAGCUUAUCUACUUUAUUUAAGAUGACAAGCCCAAUCAUGUGACAGGGUUGCACAAAUAUCUGUCAUAUUAUUGAAGUGUACAAAUCAGUACAGAAAAAUUCUGGCUCAAGUACGCCAAUCGUGGGAACACUGAAAAUUGUAUACUAUACUGACCUAGUACCAUCACCCUGACUUGGAAUUUCUCACCCCCCAGAUUAGCUGUUGUACUGUGUAAUUAUAUGUAUAUGAGCACAUGUGCGACCACUUGGUCUUUUGAUAUGAUAUCAAAACUUUUAAUGACCGAAUCAAGUAAAUAUAAAAAUUUAUAACUACUUACCAUCAUAUUAUCAUUUUACUCAUUUAACACUGAAAAUGCUCAAUCCUGCUAUUUUCGUGUCCCCUGAUGCAAAACUCUGGUGACACACGCUUAUAAUUUGGCUGUGGUGAAACUCCCUUAUCUCUGAGUACCCCUGUGAAAAGUUACGAUAUAUGAAACGUGAACCUUCUCUAUGAUAAACGUUCCCUGUUUAUAUACUACGUUGAAUUAUAAAACAUAACAUAGUUACCAUAAGAACACAUUCAUAUUAGUUUAAUCUAUUACUUACCUUAAUUAUUUUUUAUUUCCUCGGAAUAUUAAACUUUCUCGUGACAGGCAAUUAGGCUCUUAAAUUGUAUUCUCGCAUUCCCAAGUUUUUCAGAUACCUAGCAUGUAUUGGCUUAAUAAUGCUCCCAGGAACAACUUUCAAGAUCUUCAGACAUUCCAUGAUGUCACUAGUUUCACUGACUGAAAAUAAGAAGACAACAGUUUUGGUAUACCAUAUUCACCAAUGCCUUCAGCGCAAAUAUUGUUACUUCUAGCAGAAACAAUUCAAAUUAUAGAAAGACAUAGGAAAACGUUUCCAAAACUCAAAAAAUUUGCAAUUUCAAUAAUUUUGAAAACUUUCUAUCUAAUAGUGGGGUCAAAUUUCGCAAAAUCAUCGAUUUUGAAAAUUAGCAGUUCCGGGGAUCAGAUAUAAAUAUUUCUUCAAAAUUCUUUUUUUUGUUAAAGUUAUUGAAGGUUGAAGUUUAGUGCACUAUAAAAUUGUAAAAUUAUUUUCUCAUAAACUACUAGAGAUAAAUCGAUAAAAUUUUGUGAAGUCAAAGAAAAAUUUUGGUGCUACAAUAUAUAUAUUUUUUCACGAUCCAUUUGUUCAAAUAAUAAUAUUUUACAUAUUUUUUUGUUAAACAAUUGAAAUUUUCAUGUGUUUUUCACGCUAUCUACAGAAGACAUUAUGAAUUUCAAUAAUUUUGGAAACUUUCUAUCUGAUAGUCGGGUCAAACCACGUUAAGUGGUCCAUGAAAAUUUCGCAAUAUCACAAAUUUUGAAAAUUCGCAGUUCAGUAGGAAGGGGAUCAGACGCAUACACCGUAAUAUAAAUAUUUCUUCAAAAUUCUAUUUUUUGUUAAAGUUAUUGAAUGUUAAAAUUUAGUGCACUAUGGAAUUGUAAAAUUAUUUUCUCAUAAACCACUAGAGAUAAAUCGAUGAAAUUUUGUGAAGUCAAAGAGAAAUGUUCGUGCUACAUUCUAGAUAUUUUUUCAGGAUCCAUUUAUUUAAAUAAUAAUAUUUUACAUAAUUUUAUGCUAAAUAAUUGAAAUUUUUCAUGUGUUCUUCACGCUAAAAAAGUAUGUGAUACAACGCGGAAAAUAUUCACCUUUAAUAAUCUGCAAAAAUUUUUUGUUCAUUUAUACCGUUCCACAGAUAUUGAAUUUUUCGUCCCCCUACCGCUCUUAAAACAGCAUUUGUAAUUCGAGUAUUUAGAAACCACAUAAAAUCAAAAGUUAAAACGUUAUUAACUAAAAUCUAUAUAUUUUUUCGUUCUCGUUACAAUUUUCCUUAUGAACUAUUUACAACUCAUAAAAUAUUCCGCCCUUUGAGACCCUAUCGAAAAAAUGCUCUAAGGUUAUCCCAGUAGCCGACAAUUUAUUUUAAAACAUUAAAAUCAAUUUUUUUAUACUCUUAAAUACUUAAAUUAAAAUAUUAAUAUACAUUUUUGUAUAUCUAUCUAUCUAUCCUAUCUUUAUCCGGAAUCGGUUACGCAAAAAGUUGUGGAUGUUAUUGUUAAUUUGAUAUAGCAGUAUCGACGCCGUAUUAAUAAAAAAAGCGGCAACUUCUUACUUGAAUUCCGUAUUAUUUCGGUAUGUGCGAUAUAAAAUCUAUAAGCGUGAGGAAUUUUUGCCAAAAAUUUGCCACUGCCGCUUUUAUUUAGGGAAGCCUUUCAUUUCAUUUUGUCGCACAGAAUAUGGUAGUUUUUUCAUCUAUCACGUAUCUUGAUAACAUUUGUCAUUUGGAGCUCUGAGGAUGUUGACAUUGCAGAUAAUCAAAUCGGAAAAUUGCCACGUUCACAAAUUAUUAUUAAUCGCAUAUAAGGCUAUAACUAAGUCAACAAUAAUGCUACGAAAGGAUGUGUCCUGUUCCUAAUAGAUUCAGUGCACAUACGUAUACAUAUGUAUUUUAAAUCAAUAUAUAGACAAAAUUUGGUAAAAAUAAGUCUCGCUCGCAUUCCACACAGUGGACAACCACGCUGAUCACCCAUCCGAGAGUUAUGUUGAAAACUGUUAAGAAUGGAUAAUUCUCUAACGAAGACAGUAGGAAAUAUUAAAUUUAACCACAAAUGCAGAUCACCUACUUUCAAGAUAAAACAAUAUUAUAUUACAUAAGAUUCUUUCUCUCACCAAUAGGUAAAUCUAUAUGACGUUAAAGAAAUGAAACAUUGUCUUCUCCUCUCAUAUCCCUUAAAUACUUACGAAAACUAUCUGGUCUGUUUAAAUUAAAUUUCUUUUCAUCACUGCAAUUCUUUAGGCAUGGCUUACAGCCGGUUUCUCGAAAUUCUUUCAUUGAAAAUUAAGUUCCAUUUAAUUUUAAUUUUGAUUUUUAUUUAACUUUGCACUCAAGUUUGCAGCGUUUCACCAUUAUUCAGAAUUGGCAACCCAAAAAUGACAAAGCAGGGAUGUUGGUAAGAAUAACAGCUGAUUUAUGUAAACAAAUAAAUUGUGGUGGUUAAAAAAAAUGGAAAUGUAGCUCAAAAACAUUUUUCAGCUACUGAUAUUUCUACUUUGCUAAGCCUAGUGCAGCAAAAUGCAAGUGUUUUGGAGUGUAAGGCCACAGGGAAAGUGAGUUCCGAUCAAACGGACAAGGUGUGGGAUGACAUAGCGGAGAGUUUCAACGCGGUUUGCUCCGGAGCACCGCGGUCAAAAAAAAUCUGCGAACCAAAUAUUUCAAUUUGAAAGCAGAUAUGAAAAGGCGAUCUGCAGACCACAAAAAAUAUGCGUAUGGAACGGGCGGAGGUUUAUACAAAAAGCCAGUUUACUCAUGGAUCAUUCAGAUUUUUGACAGGUGAAAUUGAUCCCCAGCAGCGAAAUAUACCAAACAAGGAAGUUAUGGAAAGUGAAAUGAUAGAAGAAGAAAAUGAUAAUGUAUCUAAUGAUAUCGACAUACGUGAACAAUCAACAAGCAAAAGAUUUCGUACUUCCAGCCCAAAACAUACAACUGAAAAAGAAGAUUUUGAGCCUUGGGAGCACUACACAUCAAUGCAAUUGAAAACGCCAAAAACAGGAAGCUGUGCGCUGAGAGUGUAAAUAGAAAACACACAAGUUGGGCUAAGCUAUCAGAUACAAAAUCAAAAUGGACGGAAAGAAAACUGAAACAAGAGGUUGAAUUUGCAAAAAUCGAACAUACGUUACGUGUAAAGCAAAUGAAAGAAGCACACGAACUACAACAACAACUAGUUAUUGAGAAGCAUGCCCUUGAAAUGCGAAUACUUGAGGAUCAACUAAAAGAAAAGUUAAAAUGCUUCAUAAUAAAUCAUCAGCUAGUUGAGCCUUUUUUACUUUCGUACAAAGUUUAAAAGUUUCGUUUAUAUGGUUUUUGUUUUGUAUAUGUACAGUGGCGCGCUUGUAAAAAUUUACAGAAUAAAUUUUGUUUAGUUCUUGCCUUA